CCUACGGGGCGCAGCAGUGAGGAAUAUUGGUCAAUGGACGAGAGUCUGAACCAGCCAAGUAGCGUGAAGGAUGACUGCCCUAUGGGUUGUAAACUUCUUUUAUAAAGGAAUAAAACGAGGCACGUGUGCCUUUUUGCAUGUACUUUAUGAAUAAGGAUCGGCUAACUCCGUGCCAGCAGCCGCGGUAAUACGGAGGAUCCGAGCGUUAUCCGGAUUUAUUGGGUUUAAAGGGAGCGUAGAUGGGUUGUUAAGUCAGUUGUGAAAGUUUGCGGCUCAACCGUAAAAUUGCAAUUGAUACUGGCAGUCUUGAGUACAGGUGAGGUAGGCGGAAUUCGUGGUGUAGCGGUGAAAUGCUUAGAUAUCACGAAGAACCCCGAUUGCGAAGGCAGCUUACUAAACUGUGACUGACAUUGAUGCUCGAAAGUGUGGGUAUCGAACAGGAUUAGAUACCCUUGUAGUC
rnacentral:rRNA from 1 species